rnacentral:rRNA from 1 species
CCUACGGGAGGCAGCAGUGAGGAAUAUUGGUCAAUGGACGAGAGUCUGAACCAGCCAAGUAGCGUGAAGGAUGACUGCCCUAUGUGUUGUAAACUUCUUUUAUAUGGGAAUAAAACGUUCCACGUGUGGGAUUUUGUAUGUACCAUAUGAAUAAGGAUCGGCUAACUCCGUGCCAGCAGCCGCGGUAAUACGGAGGAUCCGAGCGUUAUCCGGAUUUAUUGGGUUUAAAGGGAGCGUAGGUGGAUUGUUAAGUCAGUUGUGAAAGUUUGCGGCUCAACCGUAAAAUUGCAGUUGAAACUGGCAGUCUUGAGUACAGUAGAGGUGGGCGGAAUUCGUGGUGUAGCGGUGAAAUGCUUAGAUAUCACGAAGAACUCCGAUUGCGAAGGCAGUUCACUGGACUGCAACUGACACUGAGGCUCGAAAGUGUGGGUAUCAAACAGGAUUAGAUACCCGAGUAGUC